CAGUCGCCGCGGGAAUACGUAGGGUGCAAGCGUUAAUCGGAAUUACUGGGCGUAAAGCGUGCGCAGGCGGUUAUAUGAGUCAGAUGUGAAAUCCCCGGGCUCAACCUGGGAACUGCAUUUGAGACUGUAUGGCUAGAGUGUGUCAGAGGGGGGUAGAACUCCACGUGUAGCAGUGAAAUGCGUAGAUAUGUGGAGAAAUACCGAUGGCGAAGGCGGCCCCCUGGGAUAACACUGACGCUCAUGCACGAAAGCGUGGGGAGCAAACAGGAUUAGAUACCCCUGUAGUCCCUGUCUCUUAUAC
rnacentral:rRNA from 1 species